rnacentral:ncRNA from 1 species
AUCUGGAAAGUAGCAACCGCUCACCGAAGGAGAAAGGGUCCAUUCCUGAAUCUCUCAGGUCAAUGACAGAUGGGU